UGCAGUCGAGCGGUAACAGAGAUAGCUUGCUAUCUGCUGACGAGCGGCGGACGGGUGAGUAAUUCUUGGGAAUAUGCCUUAUGGUGGGGGACAACAGUUGGAAACGACUGCUAAUACCGCAUAACGUCUACGGACCAAAGGGGGGGAUCUUCGGACCUCUCGCCAUUUGAUUAGCCCAAGUGAGAUUAGCUAGUUGGUGAGGUAAAGGCUCACCAAGGCGACGAUCUCUAGCUGGUUUGAGAGGAUGAUCAGCCACACUGGGACUGAGACACGGCCCAGACUCCUACGGGAGGCAGCAGUGGGGAAUAUUGCACAAUGGGGGGAACCCUGAUGCAGCCAUGCCGCGUGUGUGAAGAAGGCCUUCGGGUUGUAAAGCACUUUCAGUUGUGAGGAAAGGGUAUUGGUUAAUAGCCACUAUCUGUGACGUUAACAACAGAAGAAGCACCGGCUAACUUCGUGCCAGCAGCCGCGGUAAUACGAGGGGUGCAAGCGUUAAUCGGAAUUACUGGGCGUAAAGCGUACGUAGGCGGUUUGUUAAGCAAGAUGUGAAAGCCCAGGGCUCAACCUUGGAACUGCAUUUUGAACUGGCAAACUAGAGUACUGUAGAGGGUGGUGGAAUUUCCAGUGUAGCGGUGAAAUGCGUAGAGAUUGGAAGGAACAUCAGUGGCGAAGGCGGCCACCUG
rnacentral:rRNA from 1 species